CCUACGGGAGGCAGCAGUGAGGAAUAUUGGUCAAUGGGCGUAAGCCUGAACCAGCCAAGUCGCGUGAGGGAUGAAGGUUCUAUGGAUCGUAAACCUCUUUUAUAAGGGAAUAAAGUGCGGGACGUGUCCCGUUUUGUAUGUACCUUAUGAAUAAGGAUCGGCUAACUCCGUGCCAGCAGCCGCGGUAAUACGGGGGAACCGAGCGUUAUCCGGAUUUAUUGGGUUUAAAGGGUGCGUAGGCGGCCUUUUAAGUCAGCGGUGAAAGUCUGUGGCUCAACCAUAGAAUUGCCGUUGAAACUGGGAGGCUUGAGUAUGUUUGAGGCAGGCGGAAUGCGUGGUGUAGCGGUGAAAUGCUUAGAUAUCACGCAGAACCCCGAUUGCGAAGGCAGCCUGCCAAGCCAUGACUGACGCUGAUGCACGAAAGCGUGGGUAUCAAACAGGAUUAGAUACCCCAGUAGUC
rnacentral:rRNA from 1 species